rnacentral:rRNA from 1 species
AUUGAACGCUGGCGGCAGGCCUAACACAUGCAAGUCGAGCGGAUGACGGGAGCUUGCUCCCUGAUUCAGCGGCGGACGGGUGAGUAAUGCCUAGGAAUCUGCCUGGUAGUGGGGGACAACGUUUCGAAAGGAACGCUAAUACCGCAUACGUCCUACGGGAGAAAGCAGGGGACCUUCGGGCCUUGCGCUAUCAGAUGAGCCUAGGUCGGAUUAGCUAGUAGGUGAGGUAAUGGCUAACCUAGGCGACGAUCCGUAACUGGUCUGAGAGGAUGAUGAGUCACAGUGGAACUGAGACAAGGUCCAGAAUCGGACGGGAGGCAGCAGUGGAGAAUGUUGGAGAGUGGGCGAAAGCCAGAACCAGCCAAGCCGCGUGUGUGAAGAAGGUCGUCGGAUUGUAAAGCACUUUAAGUUUGGAGGAAGGGCAGUAAGUUAAUACCUUGCUGUUUUGACGUUACCGACAGAAUAAGCACCGGCUAACUCUGUGCCAGCCGCCGCCGUAA